GCUGUAUGCUUAGUUGGUUAGAGUGUGGUGCUGACGAUACUUAGGUUGCAGGUUCGAUCCCUGUAUGGGACAGCUGCA